UUUUUGUUUUUUUUUUUUUUUUUAGCCUUUUAGGGCUGUACUCACAACAUAUGGAAGUUCCCAGGCGAGGGGUCCAAUUGGAGCUGCAGCUGCCGGCCCACGCCACAGCCACAUAUGUAGCCUACACCACCGCCACGGCAAUGCUGACAGAUCCUCGACCGAGGAUCGAGGCCAGGGAUUUAACGCACGGCCUCGUGGAUGCCAGUCGGGUUCGUUAACUGCUGAGCCACGAAAGGAACUCCCCAAACAACUUUCUAAAUGCAUUGACAAGCUCCUAAGAAAGGAAAAUCUUCAUACUGUCUCCCUGCCUCACCAUGAGAGAGAGAGAGAAGGGAAGGAAGGAGAAGGAAGGAAGGAAGGAAGGAAGAAAUGAACAGAAGGAAAGAAGCUGAGAGCACAGAGCAGAGAAGAGGAGACAAUGGAAUAUCACUCAGCCUUGAAAAGGCAGGAAAUUCCAAAGCAUGCCAAACAAGGAUGGAUCUUAAAAAUACUUUGCUAAGUGAAAGCCGCCAAUCACACAAGGUGGGAGAUGGCAUCAGUCCACCGAUGAGCGGUACCUGGAAGAGGCAAAUUGGGAGAAUCGGGAAGUAGAAUGGUGGUGGCCGGGGAGGGGCUGGAGCGCUGGGGUGUAGUGGGGGCUGAGGUCCAGGCUGAGGUGAUGCCAGCCUUCCCCACGGGGAGGGCGAGGACGGCGGCAUAACAACGCGGAGGCACUGCGGGCCGAGCAGCUGUAAGCAGUUGAAAGGGUAAACUUCAUGCGAGCGGGGUCUCACGGCCAUUUAAAAAACAACCCACAGAACUGCAUUCAGAACCCCUCAGGAGAUUUUCCUAUUGCUGCUGGGGCUCUCAAUGGAAGAAAGAUGAUUGUCUAUUGAAACUGUCACCACCGGAUCAGUCUCAAGGGGCACGUGUUAAAAAUCAAACCUGGUGGAGGAGGCGCUGCCCAAAUGAGGUGUCAAGGGAGUCGAGGCUGGGCCAGUGAUGACUCCAGGCCUUUUGGCGAAAGCAAAGCACAGCUACUCAGCCGAGAUCUCACAGAGGACGGCUUGAAAGAGCUCCUAAUUCAAAGUCACAAAACACACACGGUAGAGGCCGGCAAAUAUAAUUUACAACAAGACUAGACAGCCUCAUCCUGCCCCACCUCAUACUAACUUUGGAGGAAAACGAUAGUGCAAGAUCGUUCUUUAAAAUGAUGAUCAGGGAGUUCCUGUCGUGGCUCAGUGGUUAACGAAUCCGACUGGGAACCACGAGGUUUCAUGGUUGGAGGAGCCUGGGGUGUUUGUGCUCUGCCACCCUCAGUGAGUGGGCAUUGGACCUCUUGGCCAUGAAAUGGCUGCAGCAGCUCCAGGCAUCACUUGCAGGUGAUUCCAUGCAAGGCAGGGAAAGGUGGCCCUUCUGGAGUGUCCCCUGAGGCCUCCAGGCACAUUUCCCCUUGUGUCCCCUUGGCCUGUGGGAGCCCUUGAAGCAACCACUGACAAAAGAGAACCAGGGGGUGCGGGGAGGGGUGACUCCUGCCCCAGCAAAUCAAAAUUCUAAUCUCCAAGCUGCUGGCUGCUGGACAGGCCAUGAUGGAAUUGACCCAAGAGUCUCUCAGGGUCUCCCUCCAAGCUGGAUCAGAGCUCAGAUGGCACAGCCCGGGUUACACACCAAGUACCCGGGUUAACAGAGGCAGGUUUGAAUCUAGACCUACAACCAGUUAUGCCUGGUCCUGCAGGGUCCUAGUCUUUCUGGGUGUAGAAAGACCCCUUUGGGGCCAAAUUGGAGGCCUGGAUAAGGAACCAGGCAGGAGAAGACAAGAUCUGGGCUAAAGCCAAGAAAACAGACAGGGCAGAUCCGGGAAAAGGACAGGGCGUGGGGGCUGAUGGGCUUUGGGGAAGGGGUAUAGUGCCAAGAGGUUUGGCUUAUUGACCGGAAUGUACAAUGGGGCUGCUGUCCCCCAGAUGGGGAGUGGGGGAGGCACCAGUUAGUGGGGGACAAUACAAAGCUCAUUUUGUGACGAAGUGGACUAGUCCCCCCCUCCUCCCAAGGGAACAGCCAGGACAUCGGGAGCUUGGAUUGCUGGGCCCUUGAAAAUGAAAUGGGCUGAAGACCAGGAUUUCUGGUUGAGACCCUUGAGUCCCUGAGUUGCACUAUUGGAGAUGGCAGUUAAUGUCUUGUUCUUUGGCAUUUUAUUUCAAAACUGCAGCAAGAAAAAAAAGGUCAACGGCAGCACCAGGAGAUUCGGCUUGAGAAUGGAGAUGCAGAGUUGGGGUCAAAGAUUGACCCCACAGCAUGGAGCAGCGGGGAGUCCGGGUCCCCAAGGCCUGAGAGGUGGGGCUAGGGGCCAAGACACCUGGAUCGGGCCCUUAUGGCUUUGGGAGUGAAAUGUGGGGGUGCUGGAGCCCCAGGCACCCCGUCCCCGCGCCCCAUCCCUCUUUCUAUUUCAUAUUGCACUUCAGGUGAGUCAUUGGUAUGGAGGCGAAGGUUCAACAGGGACUGGAUGCUACAGGUCAUUGGAUCCCUGGAGUGAUCGCGCACAGUCCAUAGCGUCACACCUGGAGCAUCCACUCGUGGGCUUUUGUUCCGUACUGGGGGGGCGGAAUAAGAGAGGCAGAAGUGAGAGGAAGCCACACUACAACUCCCAGCAGACCCUGGGGCGUCCCAGCCUAAAUGCUGGCGAAUUGUGCCCCCCAGGUCCUCAUGGGAAAUGUAGUCCACUUCCCGGAAGUCCACCUACAAUCCUGGGGAAGGGGCGUCUUGGCAAAGAUGGCGCAGAGGCUCAAGGGAGAUGUAGUUCUGCACAGAGGAGUUUUUUUGUUUGUUUUUGGUCUUUUUGCCUUUUCUAG
ensembl:lncRNA